rnacentral:rRNA from 1 species
UACGUAGGGGCUAGCGUUGUCCGGAAUCAUUGGGCGUAAAGCGCGUGUAGGCGGUCCGGUAAGUCCGCUGUGAAAGUCGGGGGCUCAACCCUCGAAUGCCGGUGGAUACUGUCGGGCUAGAGUGCGGAAGAGGCGAGUGGAAUUCCUGGUGAUAGCGGUGAAAUGCGCAGAUAUCAGGAGGAACACCAAUUGCGAAGGCAGCUCGCUGGGACGUAACUGACGCUGGAGAACGGCGAAAGCGUGGGGAGCAAACAGG